rnacentral:tRNA from 1 species
GGUGCCGUGGUGAAGCAGCUAACACGGCGGUCUGCAAAACCGCUAUUCAUGGGUGCAAGUCCCAUCGGCACCU